GGGCGCUUAGCUCAGUUGGUUAGAGCGGUCGCCUUACACGCGACAGGCCUGGGGUUCAAAUCCUCAAGCGCCCA
rnacentral:tRNA from 1 species